UUGUCUACAUAAUUAUAUUCCUUAUUAAGAUAAAAUGGGAUAUUAUUGAGUCGUUGGACUCUCAAUUUAGAUUUUAAGGGUUGCAAAAUUGAUGACUUAGCUUAAUUUGCGCCUGCAGAAACCAAUCAUAACGUUGAAAUUAUAUUUCAGAUUCAUCCGUUCUCAAAGAUACAUAGUGGAAGUGUGGAACUGUGGAAGGUGACUCAAGGUGUAUACAAGAUCCAAUAAUCUUAAAAAUAACCAUUAAUUUAAUUUGUUCAGAAAAAAAAAAGAAAAACUUUCAUAUGAAAACAAUUUUUUUUAUAUAUUUUUUAAUUCUCUCUCUCCUCUCCUCUCCUCUCCUCUCAUUUUCUCUUUCUAACUUUCUCUCUCUAAACCCAGUACAGCAUCAUCUUCAUCAUCAUCAAAAUUGAAUAGCAGAUCUUCAACUACUCAACGAUGUUUUAUGAUUGAUUUCAUCACAUCCAGAUUUUCAUCAUCUCGAUUGUCUCUACCUACCAAUCGCACCCCAUCUUUCCCUUUUCUAGUGAAAUGCUCACAAUCUGGUGGAAAUGGAACCCCAAUCAA